rnacentral:rRNA from 1 species
GACGAACGCUGGCGGCGCGCUUAACACAUGUAAGUCGAGCGAAGCGGCGGACGGGUGAGUAACACGUGAGUAACCUGCCUUUUACACAGGGAUAGCCUCGGGAAACCGGGAUUAAAACCUGAUGGUAAAAGAUGGCAUCGCGUCGCACUAGCUAGUUGGUGAGGUAACGGCCCACCAAGGCAACGAUGGGCAGCCGGCCUGAGAGGGUGAACGGGCACAUUGGAACUGAGAAACGGUCCAAACUCUACAGGAGGCAGCCGUGGGAAAUACUGCACAAUGGGGGAAACCCUGAUGCAGCGACGCCGCGUGAGCGAAUAAGGCCUUCGCGUCGUAAAGCUCUCUUAUCUGGGAAGCGGUACCAUACGAAAAAGCCCCGGCUAACUACGUGCCAGCAGCCGCGGUAAUAC